UGGGGAAUUUUGGACAAUGGGCGAAAGCCUGAUCCAGCAAUGCCGCGUGUGUGAAGAAGGCCUUCGGGUUGUAAAGCACUUUUGUCCGGAAAGAAAUCCUUGGCUCUAAUACAGUCGGGGGAUGACGGUACCGGAAGAAUAAGCACCGGCUAACUACGUGCCAGCAGCCGCGGUAAUACGUAGGGUGCAAGCGUUAAUCGGAAUUACUGGGCGUAAAGCGUGCGCAGGCGGUUUGCUAAGACCGAUGUGAAAUCCCCGGGCUCAACCUGGGAACUGCAUUGGUGACUGGCAGGCUAGAGUAUGGCAGAGGGGGGUAGAAUUCCACGUGUAGCAGUGAAAUGCGUAGAGAUGUGGAGAAUACCGAUGGCGAAGGCAGCCCCCUGGGCCAAUACUGACGCUCAUGCACGAAAGCGUGGGGAGCAAACAGGAUUAGAUACCCUGGUAGUCCACGCCCUAAACGAUGUCAACUAGUUGUGGGGAUUCAUUCCUUAGUAACGUAGCUAACGCGUGAAGUUGACCGCCUGGGGAGUACGGUCGCAAGAUUAAAACUUAAAGGAAUUGACGGGGUCAUAGCUG
rnacentral:rRNA from 1 species